rnacentral:rRNA from 1 species
GUCCAGACUCCUACGGGAGGCAGCAGUGGGGAAUAUUGCACAAUGGGGGGAACCCUGAUGCAGCGACUCCUCGUGGGUGAAGAAGUCAUUCGUGACGUAAAGCCCUAUCAUCCUGGAAGAAAAUGACGGUACCUGACUACUAAGCCCCGUCUAACUACGUGCCAGCAGCCGCGGUAAUACGUAGGGGGCAAUCUUUAUCCGGAUUUACUGGGUGUAAAGGGAGCGUAGACGGCGGCGCAAGUCCGGAGUGAAAGCCCACGGACCAACCGUGGGACUGCUCUGGAAACUGUGCGGCUUGAGUGCGGGAGGGGCAGGCGGAAUUCCUAGUGUAGCGGUGAAAUGCGUAGAUAUCAGGAGGAACACCGGUGGCGAAGGCGGCCUGCUGGACUGCGACUGACGUUGAGGCCCGAAAGCGUGGGGAGCAAACAGGAUUAGAUACCCCAGUA